UACGGAGGGAGCAAGCGUUACUCGGAAUUACUGGGCGUAAAGGGCGCGUAGGCGGCCUUCUAAGUCGAACGUGAAAUCCCUGGGCUCAACCCAGGAACUGCGUCCGAUACUGGAAGGCUUGAAUCCGGGAGAGGGAUGCGGAAUUCCAGGUGUAGCGGUGAAAUGCGUAGAUAUCUGGAGGAACACCGGUGGCGAAGGCGGCAUCCUGGACCGGUAUUGACGCUGAGGCGCGAAAGCCAGGGGAGCAAACGGG
rnacentral:rRNA from 1 species